UCUGGCAGGGCAGGAGGUGUUCAUGGUGACACACAGAGGGGUCUGGCAGCCCCAGGAGCUGGCCAACCAUGCCUGUCCAUGGAGCAAUGAGGUGAGGCCCUGGUGCUGGCCCUUCUGGUGGCCCUGAGCUGGUGUCCCAUCCCUCCCCAGUUCCACUGCGCCUACCAGCUGGCCGACUGGUGCCUGCACCACAUCUGCACCAACUACAACAACGUCUGCCGCAAGUUCCCCCGCGACAUGAAGGCCAUGUCGGGAGAGAACCAGGAGUACUUCGAGAAGCACCGCUGGCCGCCGGUGUGGUACCUGAAGGAGGAGGAUCACUACCAGCGGGCGAAGAAGGAGCGGGAGAAGGAAGACUACCUCCACCUCAAACGGCAGCCCAAGAGGCGCUGGCUCUUCUGGAACGCCUCCUCCUCCCCUUCUUCCUCUCCUUCAUCGUCGGCAGCCACAGCCUCCUCUUCCUCCUCCUCCUCCUCCUCCUCGGCUGUGGUUUGAGAGCCCCGGAGGAGACGGGGAGCAGGAGGAGGAGGAGGAGGAGGAGGAAGGGUGGAUGCCCUGCCCCAGCGCCUGAGGAGCAGCACCGGCCCCGCACGGAGGGGCGGCCGCUGGGCAGGAGGAAGGGCGGGAUCCCUGCCCUGCUCUCCCCGCGGCAGGAGCGGCACAGCCCGAGCAGCAGCAGCAGCAGCAGGAACUGGCGUCUACAGCAGCACCAGGGCUGUGCUGUGGUUUCAUCUCAUGGGGAAUUUCCGUUGGAAAUUGGUUUUGUUUUUCGGAGCAUCGUCAGCAUGAGGAGGAAGAAGAUGAAGAUAAGAGAAGAAACACAUCCAGCUUCCACUUUGAUUUGGAACCAGAAGCUCUGGGAUGUGGUUGGGGUGUCUGAUGGCAUCUCACCACCUGGAGCCACCGUGGGGGUCCUGCCACCCCCCUGGACUCACAGCAGGGUCAGGCACAAGGCAGGGGACCCCGGUCCCCAAAUGCCUCCAGGCACUGCAGGAUUUCCCCUGCAAGUGGGGUCUGUCCUAAUUCAGGGCAUGGAGAGGACCAGAGUCCUCUCCUCCCUGUUCUUAACUCUCCAGUUUUGUUUAGACAGAAACUUAAAGCAAAAAAAAACCCCAAACCCACACCCACUCCCUCAAUCUGCCACACCAGAAACCAACCCCGAGCCCUGGGCUGGGGAUUUUAGCCUGGAAGGCUCCAUUGUAAUAAAUGGUAUUUUAAAAGCCCAGCGUGGUCCCUGUGUGUGUGGGAGGAGCAGCUGGACAGGCACACCCCCCUGUGCCAGGCCGGGGUGAUGCCAUCCCCGCCUUGCAGCGCUCCUGGGACGGGCAGGGACAGCCAGGCCUGGCAGGACCCACCCCUGGUGCAGCACCAGGUGGAUUUCCAUCGGACUGACUCUGCCUGUCCCACCUGCAGGGCUGCCAGGGCUGCCAACCUCCUCGCCCUCCCCAGCUGCCAUGGGCAAAGCUCCUUGGGGCCCAACCCUGCCGAGGCUGCUGCUGGAGGAGCACCAGGGAUGCUCCUGGAGGUGUCCCUUCCCACCCCACUCUGCUCCUCUGGCCCUUGGAGCCUCCCCUGUGCAUGGCCGCCCUCAGCCUCGCUGCAGCAGCGAGGGGGCUCCUCUCCCUCGCUGCCGUGUCCCUUGGCAGCCCCGGCCAGCAGGUAGGAGCGCGACUUUCUGUCCUUUCCACACAACCUGGGCACUCACCGCUGCUUCUGAGUCCUGUUUGCCUUGCCCAGGCCGGGACCGAGCCCUGGCACUGAACCUGCAUGUGCCCAGGUCUGCAUGCUCAGGGGGCACAGGGCAUUGCCCACAGGGCACCAACCCUGCGGGCAGCUCAACAGCAGCUCCUGCUUCUCACCCAGCCCCACGCUCCUGAACAUGGAAUUGUAGUGCAGGGGCUGGGGAGCAGCUGCAGGGGCAUUUGGGGGACUGAGCAGAGCCCUUUUGUCACUCAGCACUGCAUGGAUUUGCAACACAGCUACUGCAACACACAGAGCCCUGGCUGGUGGAGCUGGAGCCCCCCGAGCUGGCACGGGGACAGUGGCACCCCCUGAGCUGGCAUGGGGACAGUGGCACCCCCUGAGCUGGCACGGGGACACUGGCACCCCCUGAGCUGGCAUGGGGACACUGGCACCCCCUGCUCUGGCAUGGGGACAGUGGCACCCCCUGCUCUGGCAUGGGGCUCUGAUCUGGGGUAAUUAAAGGCCAGGAUGGCUGCUGAGGGCUUCCCUGGCACAAAGGACCCUUGGGGACCAUCCCUGGUGGGGUGGCUGAGCAUUAAUUCCCUGGGCUGAGCGCCCAGUGCCACGUGGAGCAGCUGGUGUCCACUGGAGCUUGGUGGCCAUUGGGACCCUUCACCAGAGUUCUGGGGGGAAAACAAAUCAAACCAGAUGAGAAAAUCAGGAUUUUUUUUUUUUAAAUUAAACCCUUCAUAAACAGAAAUGUGUAAAACUGGAGAAGCAGACUGGCUGGGCCAGAGCUCUGUAAAAAACACACAACCAUGCAUAACAAAAACGAUAUUUUUAUAAAAGUUUUAAGUUAACAUAUGUAAGGUUUACAGUUGCUAAAUAAAUAAGUACAAAAGUUCUGCUUGUCUUGUUGG
ensembl:lncRNA